rnacentral:tRNA from 1 species
GGGGACUUAGCUCAAUUAGUAAGAGCGUCUCGCCUGCAACGAGAAGGUCAUCGGUUCAACUCCGAUAGUCUCCA